GAUGAACGCUAGCUACAGGCUUAACACAUGCAAGUCGAGGGGAAACGGCAUUAAGUGCUUGCACUUUUUGGACGUCGACCGGCGCACGGGUGAGUAACGCGUAUCCAACCUUCCCAUGACUAAGGGAUAACCUGCCGAAAGGCAGACUAAUACCUUAUGGUCUUCACUGACGGCAUCAGAUGUGAAGUAAAGAUUUAUCGGUUAUGGAUGGGGAUGCGUCUGAUUAGCUUGUUGGCGGGGUAACGGCCCACCAAGGCAACGAUCAGUAGGGGUUCUGAGAGGAAGGUCCCCCACAUUGGAACUGAGACACGGUCCAAACUCCUACGGGAGGCAGCAGUGAGGAAUAUUAGUCAAUGGGCGAGAGCCUGAACCAGCCAAGUAGCGUGCAGGAUGACGGCCCUAUGGGUUGUAAACUGCUUUUGUAUGGGGAUAAAGUCAAUCACGUGUGAUUGUUUGCAGGUACCAUACGAAUAAGAACCGGCUAAUUCCGUG
rnacentral:rRNA from 1 species